ACGCACGCUGGCGACGUGCCUAAUACAUGCAAGUAGAACGCUGAAGGAGGAGCUUGCUUCUCUGGAUGAGUUGCGAACGGGUGAGUAACGCGUAGGUAACCUGCCUGGUAGCGGGGGAUAACUAUUGGAAACGAUAGCUAAUACCGCAUCAUAGUAGAUGUUGCAUGACAUUUGCUUAAAAGGUGCAAUUGCAUCACUACCAGAUGGACCUGCGUUGUAUUAGCUAGUUGGUGGGGUAACGGCUCACCAAGGCGACGAUACAUAGCCGACCUGAGAGGGUGAGCAGCCACACUGGAACUGGGAGACGGUCCAGACUGCUACGGGAGGCAGCAGUGGGGAAUAUUGGACAAUGGGCGCAAGCCUGAGCCAGCCAUAACGCGUGGGUGAAGAAGGCCUUCGGGUUGUAAAGCCCUUUUGUUGGGAAAGAAAAGCAGCAGGUGAAUACCCCGCUGUUCUGACGGUACCCAAAGAAUAAGCACCGGCUAACUUCGU
rnacentral:rRNA from 1 species